rnacentral:precursor_RNA from 1 species
CCGGAGGGACGGGAGCCGCGCGGGAGGCAGACGCAGGGCCGCGGGCUCCGGCCCCCCGCAG